GAUGAAGAACGUAGCGAAAUGCGAUACGUAAUGUGAAUUGCAGAAUUCAGUGAAUCAUCGAGUCUUUGAACGCACAUUGCGCCCCCUGGUAUUCCGGGGGGCAUGCCUGUCCGAGCGUCAUUGCUGCCCUCAAGCACGGCUUGUGUGUUGGGCCUCCGUCCUCCUCCCGGGGGACGGGCCCGAAAGGCAGCGGCGGCACCUCGUCCGGUCCUCGAGCGUAUGGGGCUUCGUCACCCGCUCUUGUAGGCCCGGCCGGCGCUUGCCGACACAUCAAUCUUUUUUCCAGGUUGACCUCGGAUCAGGUAGGGAUACCCGCUGAACUUAAGCAUAUCAAUAAGCGGAGGA
rnacentral:misc_RNA from 1 species